rnacentral:rRNA from 1 species
UACGUAGGUGGCGAGCGUUGUCCGGAUUUACUGGGCGUAAAGAGCGCGCAGGCGGUCGUUCAAGUCGCGUGUGAAAGCCCCCGGCUCAACUGGGGAGGGUCACGCGAUACUGAUCGACUCGAAGGCAGGAGAGGGAAGUGGAAUUCCUGGUGUAGCGGUGAAAUGCGCAGAUAUCAGGAGGAACACCGGUGGCGAAGGCGGGUCUCUGGGCCGAUAUUGACGCUGAGGAGCGAAAGCGUGGGGAGCGAACAGG